rnacentral:rRNA from 1 species
UACAGAGGUCUCAAGCGUUGUUCGGAUUCAUUGGGCGUAAAGAGCUCGUAGGCGGUCUGUCGCGUCGGUCGUGAAAACUUGGGGCUUAACCCUGAGCUUGCGGUCGAUACGGGCAUGACUGGAGUUCGGCAGGGGAGACUGGAAUUCCUGGUGUAGCGGUGGAAUGCGCAGAUAUCAGGAGGAACACCGGUGGCGAAGGCGGGUCUCUGGGCAGUAACUGACGCUGAGGAGCGAAAGCGUGGGGAGCGAACAGG